GAUCAUUACCGAAGUUACUCUUCAUAACCCUUAUGUGAACCCUACCCCUCGCCGCGCGGUUGCCUCGGCGCUGGAGGUCGGGAGUGGGGCCGCCCCGCGCGGCCCCGCCCCCGGCCCCCGCCGGCCGCGCCAAACUCUCUAUUUCUGCAUAGCGGACUGCAUGUUCUGAUUUAUAAAAAAAAAACAAGUCAAAACUUUCAACAACGGAUCUCUUGGUUCUGGCAUCGAUGAAGAACGCAGCGAAAUGCGAUAAGUAAUGUGAAUUGCAGAAUUCAGUGAAUCAUCGAAUCUUUGAACGCACAUUGCGCCCGGCAGCAAUCUGCCGGGCAUGCCUGUCCGAGCGUCAUUUCUGCCCUCGAGCUCGGUUCUCUCGAACCGACGCCCGGUGUUGGGGCGCUGCGGGGGCUCUAAGCCCCCCGCAGGCCCCGAAAUGAAGUGGCGGUCCCGCCGCGGCACCCCCUGCGUAGUAAGUCUUAUGCACCUCGCAUCGGGUCCCGGCGAAGGCCAGCCGUCGAACCUAUCUCUUGAUG
rnacentral:misc_RNA from 1 species